GUGAAACUCAAGUAGAAUGUGACACGAAGUAGCUUUACUGUGAAGAUGAACCACUUGAAGCUUUUGGGAUUUUGGAGGGCAAAUGCUACCAGAGAAGCCAUACGAGUUCUAAUGCUUUAAAAUUGUGCAGACUGAAGUAAUAUGAGGUCUAUCAUCAUGGUUCAGUACUAAACUCUUCAUUUGAUGGGUUAUUGAGGGUUGACCUUAAAGUUGGAUCAACUUAGAUACUGGAUGAGCAAUUUUGUAGAGGUUCCUUGACUUUAAUCUUUUUUAUUUAUUGGGUACAUCCGGAUGUAAUUAGUUUGUAACUUAAUCAAUCAGCUGUGUUCCACUUGGCAUUUUUUCGCAAGCUUGUCAAGAUUUUAUACACGGCAACUAGGAAUUGCUUCUUUUUCUAAUCCUCGGUCCAUGUAAUUGAAUAUAUACAUUAGUAGGGACUAGGGGUGUCAAUGGUUCGGUUCGGUCGGCCAUUUGCAAAAAUUUAUACCAUACCAAUUUUUCGGUUACUCUACUAUAUAUAAUCAAAAUUAAACUUUUGAAAAC